rnacentral:rRNA from 1 species
ACGCACGCUGGCGGCGUGCUUAACACAUGCAAGUCGAACGCUGAAGCUCAGCUUUUGUUGGGUGGAUGAGUGGCGAACGGGUGAGUAACACGUGAGUAACCUGCCCCCUUCUUUGGGAUAACGCCCGGAAACGGGUGCUAAUACUGGAUAUUCACUGGUCUUCGCAUGGGGGUUGGUGGAAAGGGUUUUUCUGGUGGGGGAUGGGCUCGCGGCCUAUCAGCUUGUUGGUGGGGUGAUGGCCUACCAAGGCUUUGACGGGUAGCCGGCCUGAGAGGGUGACCGGUCACAUUGGGACUGAGAUACGGCCCAGACUCCUACGGGAGGCAGCAGUGGGGAAUAUUGCACAAUGGGCGCAAGCCUGAUGCAGCGACGCCGCGUGAGGGAUGGAGGCCUUCGGGUUGUGAACCUCUUUCGCUCAUGGUCAAGCCGCAACAAUGGUUGUGGUGAGGGUAGUGGGUAAAGAAGCGCCGGCUAACUACGUG